rnacentral:rRNA from 1 species
CCUACGGGGGGCAGCAGUGGGGAAUAUUGCACAAUGGGCGCAAGCCUGAUGCAGCGACGCCGCGUGAGCGAUGAAGGCCUUCGGGUCGUAAAGCUCUGUCCUAAGGGAAGAAUAAUGACGGUACCUUAGGCGGAAGCCCCGGCGAACUACGUGCCAGCAGCCGCGGUAAUACGUAGGGGGCGAGCGUUAUCCGGAAUCACUGGGCGUAAAGGGUGCGUAGGCGGCCCUGCAAGUCAGGAGUUAAAUCCCUCGGCUCAACCGAGGUCAGCUCUUGAAACUGUAGGGCUUGAGUGCAGGAGAGGAGAGCGGAAUUCCUAGUGUAGCGGUGACAUUCGUAGAUACUAGGAGGAACACCAGUGGCGAGGGCGGCUUUCUGGACUGCAACUGACGCUGGGGAGCGAAAGCGUGGGCAGCGAACAGGAUUAGAUACCCCUGUAGUC